rnacentral:rRNA from 1 species
GACGAACGCUGGCGGCGUGCUUAACACAUGCAAGUCGAACGGUGAAGCCCUUCGGGGUGGAUCAGUGGCGAACGGGUGAGUAACACGUGGGCAAUCUGCCCUGCACUCCGGGACAAGCCCUGGAAACGGGGUCUAAUACCGGAUAUGACCUUCCUCCGCAUGGGGGUUGGUGGAAAGCUCCGGCGGUGCAGGAUGAGCCCGCGGCCUAUCAGCUUGUUGGUGGGGUAAUGGCCUACCAAGGCGCCGACGGGUAGCCGGCCUGAGAGGGCGACCGGCCACACUGGGACUGAGACACGGCCCAGACUCCUACGGGAGGCAGCCGUGGGGAAUAUUGCACAAUGGGCGAAAGCCUGAUGCAGCGACGCCGCGUGAGGGAUGACGGCCUUCGGGUUGUAAACCUCUUUCAGCAGGGAAGAAGCGCAAGUGACGGUACCUGCAGAAGAAGCACCGGCUAACUACGUGCCAGCCGCCGCUGUAAUAC